rnacentral:rRNA from 1 species
UACAGAGGUCUCAAGCGUUGUUCGGAUUCAUUGGGCGUAAAGGGUGCGUAGGUGGCGCCAUAAGUCGGGUGUGAAAUUUCGGAGCUUAACUCCGAAACUGCAUUCGAUACUGUGGUGCUUGAGGACUGGAGAGGAGACUGGAAUUCAUGAUGUAGCAGUGAAAUGCGUAGAGAUCAUGAGGAAGACCAGUGGCGAAGGCGGGUCUCUGGACAGUUCCUGACACUGAGGCACGAAGGCUAGGGGAGCAAACGGG